rnacentral:rRNA from 1 species
AUUUUACAAUGGGCCGCAAGCCUGNUGGNGCGACGCCGCGUGGGGGAUGAAGGGUUUCGAUCCGUAAACCCCUGUCAUUUGCGAACAAACCUUGAUUGUGAACAGCGAUCAAGCUGAUUGUAGCGGAAGAGGAAGGGACGGCUAACUCUGUGCCAGCAGCCGCGGUAAUACAGAGGUCCCAAGCGUUGUUCGGAUUCACUGGGCGUAAAGGGUGCGUAGGUGGCCGGUGAAGUUCGGUGUGAAAGCUCGGAGCUCAACUCCGAAAUGGCAUUGAAAACUCAUCGGCUGGAGGGUCGGAGGGGAGACUGGAAUUCUCGGUGUAGCAGUGAAAUGCGUAGAUAUCGAGAGGAACACCAGUGGCGAAGGCGAGUCUCUGGACGACUCCUGACACUGAGGCACGAAAGCCAGGGGAGCAAACAGGAUUAGAUACCCUGGUAGUCCUGGCUGUAAACGGUGCACGUUUGCUGUAAGAGGAAUCGACCCCUUUUGUGGCGAAGCUAACGCGAUAAACGUGCCGCCUGGGGAGUACGGUCGCAAGAUUAAAACUCAAAAAAAUUGACGGA